UGCCAGCCGCCGCGGUAAUACGGAGGGUGCAAGCGUUGUUCGGAAUUAUUGGGCGUAAAGCGCGUGUAGGCGGUUCGUUAAGUCUGAUGUGAAAGCCCGGGGCUCAACCCCGGAAGUGCAUUGGAAACUGGCGAACUUGAGUACGGGAGAGGAAAGUGGAAUUCCGAGUGUAGGGGUGAAAUCCGUAGAUAUUCGGAGGAACACCAGUGGCGAAAGCGGCCUUCUGGGUCGGUCCUGACGCUAAGACGCGAAAGCUAGGGUAGCAAACGGGAUUAGAUA
rnacentral:rRNA from 1 species